AAUAUCGUCGGCUAAACUAUUUAAAUAUCGUCGGCUAAAGUUACUGGUUUUUGAAAAAAAAAAACUGCAAAAACUUUCGGCCUCCUCCAAUCACCACCAAAAUUUGACAGAAUCUUCCUCUCAACAUUUCGAACAACCUUCUAGAAGAAGUCGAAGCCCAAUUUUAAGACUAAACAGGUCAAUUGAAUUAAAAUAUAAAAAUCCUCAAUUUUAAACCCUAAAAACUUCAAAUCUUCGAUUCUCCUCACACACACCAAAUCGAGCUACCAAAUUUUAGGGGAAUAUAGUACUAAUCAAACUCAACUUAUCCAUAUAUAGAACUCACCAAAUGGUGACCUGAGGAAGGAGAAAUUCGAUCGACACCGAAUCCGAACCGGCGGAGUUUUGGAGCUCGAUUUAUCCCUCACGGCAGCGCCACUCUAUGCCCCACCUGUCUAGCAAUGAAGUAGAGACGACGGCGAAGCUUUUCGGACAAGUGUGGCGGUCUCCUGUGGCUUAACGGCAGAGCUAGGCUGAAAAGAAAAUCAGGCAGGCGAAACAAUAACUUUUUCUGAUUUUCUGACUUCUUACCAUCCACCUCCGGUAAAACUCCUAUUAAAAGAACUUUACCUGAUGAAAUUCUUUAUUUUCGUCGGCUAAACUCUUAUAAAAAAUUUUUGAAAUUUUGGUUGACCGCCAAAAAUUUUGAAAAUUUUCCCCCAAAUUUGGUUUGCCGCCAAAUUUUUUUUCGACUUUAUCCGACGACUUUUCAUAUAUUUUCGUCUGAUAAAGUCCUUUGAAAAUUUUCCUCCAAGUUUCGUUUACCGCCAAAAAAAUUUUGACCUUAGCCGACGACCUUUUUAAUAUCUCGUCGGCUAAAGUCUAUAAAUUCACGAAAACGCUCAUAUCUCCCUCUAUAUUACGCAGUUUGGUCAAACCUUCCAUACGAAAAACUUUCACGUAGAUGAGACGCAACCGCCUAUAUAAAAAUUUUCAGACAUUUACCUUCCGACGAUAGGGCUCCCUAUAGGGAAUAAUAACGGUAAAUAGGGUUGACCGCUACUAUCGGCACCGAGACGUUACCCGAUUUACGUGAUUUUUGAACCAUAGCCGUAUUUCACCAUUCUAAACACAUCUUAUUUCACGAGAUUUUUGAUAAUUUUGCUUCCUAUGUAGAGAUGGUUCACCAUUGAUUCACAAAGUUGUAUAACCGAUUAAACAAGUUAUACAACAUUAGUAGGCACGUUGUGAUUCCGAUGACUAAAAUUCACAAACCAAAAUUCGACCGUCAUAUAUGAUCAUUAUAAUGAAAGAUGUCUAUGGUAAAAAAUUCAACUGGAUCCGACAACGUUAAGGGCUCGAUCGAAACGGUCAACCCUAAUCCAUCGUCACUUGUCACACGAAAACGCUCAUAUCGCCCUCUAUAUUACAUAGUUUGGUCAAACCUUCCACAUGAAAAACUCUCACGUAGAUAAGACACAACUGCCCAUAUAAAAAUUUUGAGACAUUUACCUUCCGACGAUAGGGCUCCCCAUAGGGAAUAAUAACGGUAAAUAGGGUUGACCGCUACUAUCGGCACAGAGACGUUAUCCGGUUUACGUGAUUUUUGAACCAUAGCCGUAUUUCAC
rnacentral:lncRNA from 1 species